GACGAACGCUGGCGGCGUGUUUAACACAUGCAAGUCGAACGGAAAGGCCCUGCUUUUGUGGGGUGCUCGAGUGGCGAACGGGUGAGUAACACGUGAGUAACCUGCCCUUGACUUUGGGAUAACUUCAGGAAACUGGGGCUAAUACCGGAUAGGAGCUCCUGCUGCAUGGUGGGGGUUGGAAAGUUUCGGCGGUUGGGGAUGGACUCGCGGCUUAUCAGCUUGUUGGUGGGGUAGUGGCUUACCAAGGCUUUGACGGGUAGCCGGCCUGAGAGGGUGACCGGCCACAUUGGGACUGAGAUACGGCCCAGACUCCUACGGGGGGCAGCAGUGGGGAAUAUUGCACAAUGGGCGGAAGCCUGAUGCAGCAACGCCGCGUGCGGGAUGACGGCCUUCGGGUUGUAAACCGCUUUCGCCUGUGACGAAGCGUGAGUGACGGUAAUGGGUAAAGAAGCACCGGCUAACUACGUG
rnacentral:rRNA from 1 species